CCUACGGGGGGCGGCAGUGAGGAAUAUUGGGCAAUGGACGAAAGUCUGACCCAGCAACGCCGCGUGGAGGAUGACGGCCGUAAGGUUGUAAACUCCUUUUGAAGGGGACGAAAAAUUUCGAUAACACCGAAACUUGACUGUACCCUUAGAAGAAGCCCCGGCUAACUACGUGCCAGCAGCCCCGGUCA
rnacentral:rRNA from 1 species